rnacentral:rRNA from 1 species
GGGGAAUUUUGGACAAUGGGGGAAACCCUGAUCCAGCCAUGCCGCGUGCAGGAUGAAGGCCUUCGGGUUGUAAACUGCUUUUGUACGGAACGAAAAGGUCCUUUCUAAUAAAGAGGGCUCAUGACGGUACCGUAAGAAUAAGCACCGGCUAACUACGUGCCAGCAGCCGCGGUAAUACGUAGGGUGCGAGCGUUAAUCGGAAUUACUGGGCGUAAAGCGUGCGCAGGCGGUUAUAUAAGACAGAUGUGAAAUCCCCGGGCUCAACCUGGGAACUGCAUUAGUGACUGUAUAGCUGGAGUGCGGCAGAGGGGGAUGGAAUUCCGCGUGUAGCAGUGAAAUGCGUAGAUAUGCGGAGGAACACCGAUGGCGAAGGCAAUCCCCUGGGCCUGCACUGACGCUCAUGCACGAAAGCGUGGGGAGCAAAC